rnacentral:rRNA from 1 species
UGAGGAACCUGCCCCGAAGACCGGGAUAACCCUCCGAAAGGAGAGCUAAUACCGGAUAUCCUCCCUUGAUCGCAUGGCCGAGAGAGGAAAUGGACUCCGCUUCGGGAGGGCCUCGCGGCCUAUCAGCUUGUUGGUGAGGUAACGGCUCACCAAGGCGUCGACGGGUAGCUGGUCUGAGAGGACGAUCAGCCACACUGGGACUGAGACACGGCCCAGACUCCGUACGGGAGGCAGC